rnacentral:rRNA from 1 species
GUAGAAUCUUUUUUCGGUUUACUGACAAAAUCAUUUUUCGGUCGGUAUUUUGAAAGAUUCUUUAAUUUUUUUAUAUUAUUUUUGUCUGGUAAGAAGUUUCACUUUCUAUAAUAGAAGAGUUUAUUUCUCUUACUUUUUGUAUCAUGGAGUAUAGAGAGUUUUAUUUAAAUAAAGAAUCCUGAAGCUCCGAGAUUUACUUUUUUAUAGGGGUGUGGUUGAAUACCCGCUUAAUAGGGAGAAGUAGUGGUGAAAUUCUAGUCGAGGGGGGCGAUAGCUGGUUGAGAGGGAAACAUAUUUUAGUAUGGUCUUAGGAAAUUAGGUUAUGGCUAAAGAGGGGCCAAGUCUAGCCCUAAGUUUCAGUUUUUUAGGGUUAAUCUUAAAAGAAGAGAGAUUUAUUUGUAUAAUUAAGUAUAGUUAGAAUUUCUAUUCUUUUAGUAGUUUUGUCUAAAGUGAUUAUUCUUUUUUAUUUGGUAUUAGUACUUCUCCCCAACAAAAAACUUUUUAAGGGAUUAGUAUACUAUUAGUAGAUGUAAAGCUAUCUUUUUUUGAGUGUAGGACGCAAAAGAAAAAGUUAUGUUUAUUUUAUUAGGUGAGUGCAAGGAAUUCAGCAAAUAUACUUUCCGCCUGUUUAUUAAAAACAUGGCUUUUAGGUGUUAAAAUUAUUAAAAGUCGGGCCUGCCCGGUGUCUUACGGGAUUAACGGCUGCUACUUUGUAGCACUAAGGUAGCGUAAUAAUUUGCCCUUUGAUUGGGGGAUUGUAUGAAAGGUUUGACGAGAGAGUUUCUGUCUCGUGCUCAAUUAUCGAAGUUUCUUUUUUAGUGAAAAAGCUUAGAUGUUUUUAAAAGACGAGAAGACCCCGUCGAGCUUAAUUAUAUGGUGUCUUUUAGGCUUUACUUGAAGUUUUGUUGGGGUAACAUAAAGAAGAUUUGACUCUUUUAUUUUUUUUGAAAAUCCUCCUCUUGGGGAAAGUAGAAAAGCUACCGCGGGGAUAACAGCGUUAUUUCUUUAGAGAGUUCUUAUCAAAAAAGAAGUUUGCGACCUCGAUGUUGAAUUAAGGUGUUACCCAGGUGCAGGUGCUUGGGUUGUAGGUCUGUUCGCCCUUUAAAAUCUUACAUGAUUUGAGUUUAAACCGGCGUGAGCUAGGUUGGUUUCUAUCUUUAUUUUUUGGUUUUUUUUGUACGAAAGGACUCUUUAGCCUGUGAGGCAUUUUUUAUUUUUGCCAAUGUUUUAACUUAGAUUAAGGGUU